GAGUUUGAUUAUGGCUCAGGACAAACGCUGGCGGCGUGCAUAACACAUGCAAGUCGAACGAAAUCUACAUGAUUUAGUGGCGAACGGGUGAGUAACACGUGAGAAACCUGCCUUACACAGAGGGAUAGCCGUUGGAAACGACGAUUAAUACCUCAUGACACCGUGACAUCGCAUGAUGAUGCGGUCAAAGAUUUAUCGGUGUAAGAUGGUCUCGCGCCUGAUUAGCUGGUUGGUGGGGUAACGGCCUACCAAGGCGACGAUCAGUAGCCGAUCUGAGAGGGUGGACGGCCACAUUGGGACUGAGACACGGCCCAAACUCCUACGGGAGGCAGCAGUGGGGAAUUUUGCACAAUGGGGGAAACCCUGAUGCAGCGACGCCGCGUGAACGAAGAAGGCCUUCGGGUUGUAAAGUUCUGUCCUUGGUGAAGAUAA
rnacentral:rRNA from 1 species